GUUGAAAGUGACGGCAUCCUUGGAACUUUUUUUGGGUUUACAAUUUUGGCUUUGACUGUAAGGGAUCCAAACUGCUUCCAGGUUCAGAGGUGGGACUGUGGCAUUCUGGGGGAUGAUGAGAGGUAUUGACUUGACAAUAUCAACUCUUCCUCUGUCUGCAAGUGCCAUGAUGACAACAGUCAGGCUUGUGAUGAAUUUCUAUUGAACCAAAUUGUAAAGAAAGAUUGGAAUAUGGAAAAAAAAAAAAUGGUUGAGCUGGCCAUUGCUCCUGUUGUAAAUGGGGUUUUGGUAUUCAUGAGCUGAAAGAGAAACAACAAGAAGAGAGAGAAGUUCAGUGCAUGGU